rnacentral:lncRNA from 1 species
GGUGCUGAGAAAUGCCUGGGGUGACAUCUCAUCAAUAGUGAAUUACAGGAUAGAUUCCUUUGACCACUCUGAUCCUUGUCAAUUUUAGACCUUGAUCAAUCAAAGAUGAAUGAUAACAAGCUAUAGAUAAUCUUUAUUACAACAUAAAGAAAAGUCAGUCAUGCAUGGCUAAGAUGAUAUCAUGAGGGUAUUGGCAUGGUUGAUUGGACUUCAUUGUUUAUUGCAUUUCAACUUACAAGUAUACAUGUAUAUUGCUAUUAUCAAAUUUCAGAUGAUUUGACACUGGUCAAGAUCACAACAAAUCAACUGUAUACAUAUAUGUGUAUGU